rnacentral:rRNA from 1 species
UACGUAGGGUGCAAGCGUUGUCCGGAAUUAUUGGGCGUAAAGAGCUCGUAGGCGGUCUGUCGCGUCUGCUGUGAAAACUCGGGGCUUAACUCCGGGCCUGCAGUGGGUACGGGCAGACUAGAGUGCGGUAGGGGAGACUGGAAUUCCUGGUGUAGCGGUGAAAUGCGCAGAUAUCAGGAGGAACACCGGUGGCGAAGGCGGGUCUCUGGGCCGAUACUGACGCUGAGGAGCGAAAGCGUGGGGAGCGAACAGG